ensembl:snRNA U6 U6 spliceosomal RNA
GUGCUCACUUUGGCAGCACAUAUACUAAAAUUGGAAUGAUACAAAGAAGAUUAGUAUGGCCGUUGUGCAAGGAUGACACACACAUUUGUGAAGUGUUGAAAGUGAUA